AUUGAACGCUGGCGGUAUGCCUUACACAUGCAAGCCGAACGGCAGCACGGGAGCAAUCCUGGUGGCGAGUGGCGAACGGGUGAGUAAUAUAUCGGAACGUGUCCAGUAGUGGGGGAUAGCCCGGCGAAAGCCGGAUUAAUACCGCAUACGACCUACGGGUGAAAGCGGGGGAUCGCAAGACCUCGCGCUAUUGGAGCGGCCGAUAUCAGAUUAGGUAGUUGGUGGGGUAAAAGCCUACCAAGCCUGCGAUCUGUAGCUGGUCUGAGAGGACGACCAGCCACACUGGGACUGAGACACGGCCCAGACUCCUACGGGAGGCAGCAGUGGGGAAUUUUGGACAAUGGGGGCAACCCUGAUCCAGCCAUACCGCGUGCAGGAAGAAGGCCUUCGGGUUGUAAACUGCUUUUGUCAGAGAAGAAAUCUUUUGGGCUAAUACCUCGGAAGGAUGACGGUAUCUGAAGAAUAAGCACCGGCUAACUACGUGCCAGCAGCCGCUGUAAAAC
rnacentral:rRNA from 1 species